GUGAGUCAUCGAAUCUUUGAACGCACAUUGCGCCCCUUGGUUAUUCCGAAGGGCAUGCCUGUUCGAGCGUCAUUAUCACCCCUCAAGCCCCGGCUUGGUGUUGGACUUAGUUAUAGCUUUGCCUAUCAACUGGUCUCAAAGACAGUGACGGCGCCCCAGAGGGAACCGGGUACGAGGAGCUUUUUGUUAAGCAUGUGCCUGGGACGACUCUGAUGGGCGACGGUCUUGUUAUACUUUUACCUAAGUGUUGACCUCGGAUCAGGUAGGAAUACCCGCUGAACUUAAGCAUAUCAAUAAGCG
rnacentral:misc_RNA from 1 species